rnacentral:tRNA from 1 species
GCGCGAGUGGUGAAACGGCAGCCACGCAGGGUUUAGGUCCCUGUGCCCCCGGGCGUGCGGGUUCGACUCCCGCCUCGCGCACCU